UACGAAGGGGGCUAGCGUUGCUCGGAAUCACUGGGCGUAAAGCGCACGUAGGCGGACUCUUAAGUCGGUGGUGAAAUCCUGGAGCUCAACUCCAGAACUGCCUUCGAUACUGAGAGUCUCGAGUCCGAGAGAGGUGAGUGGAACUGCGAAUGUAGAGGUGAAAUUCGUAGAUAUUCGCAAGAACACCAGUGGCGAAGGCGGCUCACUGGCUCGGUACUGACGCUGAGGUGCGAAAGCGUGGGGAGCAAACAGG
rnacentral:rRNA from 1 species